UCAACGACUCAGUUCAUGGCCACAUUGACUUUUGCCCUCUGCUGGUCAAAAUCAUAGAUACCCCACAGUUUCAGAGACUACGCUUCAUCAAGCAACUUGGCUGUUGCUACUUUGUCUUCCCAGGAGCAGCACACAAUAGAUUUGAACACUCACUAGGGGUCUGCUACCUUGCCGGAGAGCUUGUCCUUUCUCUUCAACGCAAGCAGCCAGAGCUAAACAUCACCAACAAGGAUAUCCUCUGUGUGCAGAUUGCUGGGCUUUGCCAUGAUCUUGGUCAUGGUCCUUUUUCCCAUGUGUUUGACUCAUUCGUCAUUCCUUCCUUCGGACUCGAGGAGAAACUCAAG